GACGAACCGUGCGAACGUUAUUCGGAAUCACUGGGCUUAAAGCGCGUGUAGGCGGGACGGCACGUCGGUCGCUGAAAUCCCCCGGCUUAACCGGGGAACUGGCGUCGAUACGACCGCCCUGGAGGGGCGUAGGGGGACCUGGAACUUCCGGUGGAGCGGUGAAAUGCGUUGAGAUCGGAAGGAACGCCCGUGGCGAAAGCGAGGUCCUGGACGCCUACUGACGCUGAGACGCGAAAAGCCAGGGGGAGCGAACGGG
rnacentral:rRNA from 1 species